rnacentral:ncRNA from 1 species
GACAAUGCAAUGAGGGAGACAGUACUUCCCAUUUCUGGCAGAGCGAUCCGGGGAGGGUGUGAGCCUGGACAGAAGGAAAUGAGAAAGAAGAUCACUCCGGAGCUGGUCAUCGAAAUCACAGUAGAAUGACCCGUCUUAUGGCCGUUAUCCCAUACAAAGUGGCAGGAUAAGCCUGUCAUGAGGGUGGUACCACGGGUUAAACCUCGUCCCUUAG